ACACAACAUUAUCAACCUAUACAACUAAACACAACAUUACCAACCUGCUACAACAUUACCAACCUGCUACAAGUAAACACAACAUUACCAACCUGCACAACUAAACACAACAUUACCAACAUGCUACAACAUUAUCAACCUGCACAACUAAACACAACAUUAUCAACCUGCUACAACUAAACACAACAUUACUAACCUGCUACAACAUUAUCAACCUGCACAACUAAACACAACAUUAACAACCUGCACAACUAAACACAACAUUAUUACUGCUACAACUAAACACAACAUUAUCAACCUGCUACAACAUUACCAACCUGCUACAACUCAACACAACAUUACCAACCUGCACAACUCAACACAACAUUACCAACCUGCACAACUAAACACAACAUUACCAACCUGCUACAACUCAACACAACAUUACCAACCUGCUACAACUAAACACAACAUUACCAACCUGCUACAACUAAACACAACAUUAUCAACCUGCUACAACUCAACACAACAUUACCAACCUGCUACAACUCAACACAACAUUACCAACCUGCUACAACUAAACACAACAUUACCAACCUGCUACAACUCAACACAACAUUACCAACAUGCUACAACUCAACACAACAUUACCAACCUGCUACAACAUUAUCAACCUAUACAACUAAACACAACAUUACCAACCUGCUACAACAUUACCAACCUGCUACAACUAAACACAUCAUUACCAACCUGCUACAACUCAACACAACAUUACCAACAUGCUACAACAUUAUCAACCUGCACAACUAAACACAACAUUAUCAACCUGCUACAACUAAACACAACAUUACUAACCUGCUACAACAUUAUCAACCUGCACAACUAAACACAACAUUAACAACCUGCACAACUAAACACAACAUUAUUACUGCUACAACUAAACACAACAUUAUCAACCUGCUACAACAUUACCAACCUGCUACAACUCAACACAACAUUACCAACCUGCACAACUCAACACAACAUUACCAACCUGCACAACUAAACACAACAUUACCAACCUGCUACAACAUUAUCAACCUGCUACAACUCAACACAACAUUACCAACCUGCUACAACUAAAUACAACAUUAUCAACCUAUACAACUAAACACGACAUUAUCAACCUGCUACAACUAAAUACAACAUUACUAACCUGCUACAACAUUACCAACCUGCACAACUAAACACAACAUUACCAACCUGCUACAACAUUAUCAACCUGCACAAUUAAACACAACAUUACCAACCUGCACAACUAAACACGACAUUACCAACCUGCUACAACUCAACACAACAUUACCAACCUGCUACAACUAAACACAACAUUACCAACCUGCUACAACUCAACACAACAUUAUCAACCUAUACAACUAAACACAACAUUAUCAACCUGCUACAACUAAACACAACAUUACCAACCUGCUACAACUCAACACAACAUUACCAACCUGCUACAACUCAACACAACAUUACCAACCUGCUACAACAUUACCAACCUGCUACAACUCAACACAACAUUAUCAACCUGCUACAACAUUAUCAACCUAUACAACUAAACACAACAUUACCAACCUGCUACAACAUUACCAACCUGCUACAACUAAACACAACAUUACCAACCUGCUACAACUAAACACAACAUUACCAACCUGCUACAACAUUACCAACCUGCUACAACUAAACACAACAUUAUCAACCUGCUACAACUCAACACAACAUUACCAACCUGCUACAACAUUAUCAACCUGCUACAACUCAACACAACAUUACCAACCUGCUACAACUAAAUACAACAUUAUCAACCUAUACAACUAAACACGACAUUAUCAACCUGCUACAACUAAAUACAACAUUACUAACCUGCUACAACAUUACCAACCUGCUACAAGUAAACACAACAUUACCAACCUGCUACAAUUAAACACAACAUUACCAACCUGCACAACUAAACACAACAUUACCAACCUGCUACAACUCAACACAACAUUACCAACCUGCUACAACUCAACACAACAUUACCAACCUGCUACAACUCAACACAACAUUACCAACCUGCUACAACUAAAUACAACAUUAUCAACCUGCUACAACAUUAUCAACCUGUACAACUAAACACAACAUUACCGACCUGCUACAACUCAACACAACAUUACCGACCUGCUACAACUCAACACAACAUUACCAACCUGCUACAACUCAACACAACAUUACCAACCUGCUACAACUAAAUACAACAUUAUCAACCUGCUACAACAUUAUCAACCUGUACAACUAAACACAACAUUAUCGACCUGCUACAACUAAACACAACAUUAUCGACCUGCUACACAGAGAGGAACCAAGCAUAAAUGUCUUUUUCCAUUGAUUGAAAAUAGCUGUCACUGCAGGGGGAUGUUUGUAGCCAUCUUUUCAUUUUAUUUUCUCCUUCAUGUGGGAACAUCUAUAAUAUUAGACCCAUCUCUUUAUUCUCUUGAAUGACCUGUACAGACCAGGGUCUGUACCGACCCCGAGCUGGACUGAGGAGGUUUUAUACAGACCAGGGUCUGUAUCGACCCAGAGCUGGACUGAGGAGGUUUUAUACAGACCAGGGUCUGUAUCGACCCAGAGCUGGACUGAGGGGUUUUAUACAGACCAGGGUCUGUACCGACCCAGAGCUGGACUGAGGAGGUUUUAUACAGACCAGGGUCUGUAUCGACCCCGAGCUGGACUGAGGAGGUUUUAUACAGACCAGGGUCUGUACCGACCCAGAGCUGGACUGAGGAGGUUUUAUACAGACCAGGGUCUGUGAUCAACCAAGAUGGACUGAGGAGGUUUUAUACAGACCAGGAUCUGUACCGACCCCGAGCUGGACUGAGGAGGUUUUAUACAGACCAGGGUCUGUACCGACCCCGAGCUGGACUGAGGAGGUUUUAUACAGACCAGGGUCUGUACCGACCCCGAGCUGGACUGAGGAGGUUUUAUACAGACCAGGGUCUGUACCGACCCCGAGCUGGACUGAGGAGGUUUUAUACAGACCAGGGUCUGUACUGAGCUGGACUGAGGAGGUUUUAUACAGACCAGGGUCUGUACCGACCCCGAGCUGGACUGAGGAGGUUUUAUACAGACCAGGGUCUGUGAUCAACCAAGAUGGACUGAGGAGGUUUUAUACAGACCAGGAUCUGUACCGACCCAGAACUGAACUGAGGAGGUUUUAUACAGACCAGGGUCUGUACCGACCCAGAGCUGGACUGAGGAGGUUUUAUACAGACCAGGGUCUGUACCGACCCAGAGCUGGACUGAGGAGGUUUUAUACAGACCAGGGUCUGUGAUCAACCAAGAUGGACUGAGGAGGUUUUAUACAGACCAGGGUCUGUACCGACCCAGAACUGGACUGAGGAGGUUUUAUACAGACCAGGGUCUGUACCGACCCCGAGCUGCACUGAGGAGGUUUUAUACAGACCAGGGUCUGUACCGACCCCGAGCUGGACUGAGGAGGUUUUAUACAGACCAGGGUCUGUACCGAGCUGGACUGAGGAGGUUUUAUACAGACCAGGGUCUGUAUCAACCCCGAGCUGGACUGAGGAGGUUUUAUACAGACCAGGGUCUGUACCGACCCCGAGCUGGACUGAGGAGGUUUUAUACAGACCAGGGUCUGUAUCGACCCAGAGCUGGACUGAGGGGUUUUAUACAGACCAGGGUCUGUACCGAGCUGGACUGAGGAGGUUUUAUACAGACCAGGAUCUGUACCGACCCAGAACUGGACUGAGGAGGUUUUAUACAGACCAGGGUCUGUAUCGACCCAGAGCUGGACUGAGGAGGUUUUAUACAGACCAGGGUCUGUACCGACCCAGAACUGGACUGAGGAGGUUUUAUACAGACCAGGGUCUGUACCGACCCAGAGCUGGACUGAGGAGGUUUUAUACAGACCAGGGUCUGUGAUCAACCAAGAUGGACUGAGGAGGUUUUAUACAGACCAGGGUCUGUAUCGACCCAGAGCUGGACUGAGGGGUUUUAUACAGACCAGGGUCUGUACCGAGCUGGACUGAGGAGGUUUUAUACAGACCAGGAUCUGUACCGACCCAGAACUGGACUGAGGAGGUUUUAUACAGACCAGGGUCUGUAUCGACCCAGAGCUGGACUGAGGAGGUUUUAUACAGACCAGGGUCUGUACCGACCCAGAACUGGACUGAGGAGGUUUUAUACAGACCAGGGUCUGUACCGACCCAGAGCUGGACUGAGGAGGUUUUAUACAGACCAGGGUCUGUGAUCAACCAAGAUGGACUGAGGAGGUUUUAUACAGACCAGGAUCUGUACCGAGCUGGACUGAGGAGGUUUUAUACAGACCAGGGUCUGUAUCGACCCAGAGCUGGACUGAGGGGUUUUAUACAGACCAGGGUCUGUACCGACCCAGAGCUGGACUGAGGAGGUUUUAUACAGACCAGGGUCUGUAUCGACCCCGAGCUGGACUGAGGAGGAUUUAUACAGACCAGGGUCUGUACCGAGCUGGACUGAGGGGUUUUAUACAGACCAGGGUCUGUACCGAGCUGGACUGAGGAGGUUUUAUACAGACCAGGGUCUGUACCGACCCAGAGCUGGACUGAGGAGGUUUUAUACAGACCAGGGUGUGUACCGAGCUGGACUGAGGAGGUUUUAUACAGACCAGGGUCUGUAUCAACCCCGAGCUGGACUGAGGAGGUUUGAUACAGACCAGGGUCUGUACCGACCCAGAGCUGGACUGAGGAGGUUCUAUACCUGGUCUGUGUUCAACCAAGAUGGAAGAGGAACGACUCAAACAUCCGAAUCUUAGUGCCAAGGUUACCGUGGAAACAGAGGAGGGGAACUGAUUUGUCUAAGUAACUAAUAUUAAAACAUUAAAAAAAUAAGUGUUAUGUAAA